UACGGAGGAUGCGAGCGUUAUCCGGAUUUAUUGGGUUUAAAGGGUGCGUAGGCGGGUUAUCAAGCCAGCGGUAAAAUCGUGGAGCUCAACUCCAUCCAGCCGUUGAAACUGAUGAUCUUGAGUGGGCGAGAAGUAUGCGGAAUGCGUGGUGUAGCGGUGAAAUGCAUAGAUAUCACGCAGAACUCCGAUUGCGAAGGCAGCAUACCGGCGCCCGACUGACGCUGAAGCACGAAAGCGUGGGUAUCGAACAGG
rnacentral:rRNA from 1 species